GGGUUGUGAGGUUAAGCGACUAAGCGUACACGGUGGAUGCCCUGGCAGUCAGAGGCGAUGAAGGGCGUGCUAAUCUGCGAUAAGCGCCGGUAAGGUGAUAUGAACCGUUAUAACCGGCGAUACCCGAAUGGGGAAACCCAGUGUGAUUCGUCACACUAUCAUUAACUGAAUCCAUAGGUUAAUGAGGCGAACCGGGGGAACUGAAACAUCUAAGUACCCCGAGGAAAAGAAAUCAACCGAGAUUCCCCCAGUAGCGGCGAGCGAACGGGGAGGAGCCCAGAGCCUGAAUCAGCAUGUGUGUUAGUGGAAGCGUCUGGAAAGGCGCGCGAUACAGGGUGACAGCCCCGUACACAAAAGCGCAUAUGCUGUGAGCUCGAUGAGUAGGGCGGGACACGUGGUAUCCUGUCUGAAUAUGGGGGGACCAUCCUCCAAGGCUAAAUACUCCUGACUGACCGAUAGUGAACCAGUACCGUGAGGGAAAGGCGAAAAGAACCCCGGCGAGGGGAGUGAAAAAGAACCUGAAACCGUGUACGUACAAGCAGUGGGAGCCCCACCACUAAGCCAGUGGUGAACUCCACAUACGCAUCCUUUGCUGAGGAGACGGUUAACGGAGCGAAAGCGACGUUCAACCUCAAAAGAAGCAGAGGGGGCUUAGUGGUGGGGUGACUGCGUACCUUUUGUAUAAUGGGUCAGCGACUUAUAUUCUGUAGCAAGGUUAACUGUAUAGGGGAGCCGGAGGGAAACCGAGUCUUAACCGGGCGUUAAGUUGCAGGGUAUAGACCCGAAACCCGGUGAUC
rnacentral:rRNA from 1 species